rnacentral:rRNA from 1 species
UACGUAGGCAGCGAGCGUUGUUCGGAAUUACUGGGCGUAAAGAGUGUGUAGGCGGUGCUCUAAGUUCGGUGUGAAAUCUCCCGGCUUAACUGGGAGGGUGCGCCGGAAACUGGAGUGCUCGAGCGUGGGAGAGGAAAGCGGAAUUCCUGGUGUAGCGGUGAAAUGCGUAGAUAUCAGGAGGAACACCGAUGGCGAAGGCAGUGGGCUGGGCCGGCACUGACGCUGAGGAGCGAAAGCGUGGGGAGCGAACAGG